rnacentral:lncRNA from 1 species
AUGCUGAAUUCAAUGCGUGCCGAAGCUUUCAGCAGAGUGGCCCCAGCAGGGGUGCGCUGGGAGGGCGCCGCUUUGCUGGGCAGGAGGCCCCGUGGGCAGGACGCGGGGUUCCUCGGCGUGCGUUCCCCACGGCGGCCGCGAGGUGGCACCGGCGCCCCUCGGGAAGCAAACAAUGCGGCGGUCUCCUUUCCACCCGCCCGGCCGCGGCCGCCCGCUGACCCGUGCACGCGACCGGGAAGCGGCCACGCGCCUCCUGGCCACGGCCGGUCGGCUCCCCGCGGGCACCGGGCGCCACCGCGCAGGGCCCUCGGAUUCUUUCUCGGCGCCUGUGCUUAUCCCCAUUUGACAGACAAAGAAACUGAGGCCCAACGCAUUGGGACUUGGAGGAGCCCACAGUGGUCAAGAGGGACGCAGAAAUGCAAAGGCGUCGGCUGCUACUCACAGAUGCAGAGACGUCGUUGCCGGAGCUGCAGCUGGCUUCUGCGUGUUCCAGUGUCUGACAACAGCGCCGACAUUGGGAGUCCUUUUGGAGAGCAGUCAUUGUGGAUUAUUAAACUCCGGGUGGUUUUAUUUACAUCUUUCUUUGUCGUGCAACAUUAUUUCCGCAGCUCCUCCUUAAGCUGUGAUGUAUGGAGCAGGUGA